rnacentral:rRNA from 1 species
GGGGAAUAUUGGACAAUGGGCGAAAGCCUGAUCCAGCCAUGCCGCGUGAGUGAUGAAGGCCUUAGGGUUGUAAUGCUCUUUUGGCGGGGACGAUAAUGACGGUACCCGCAGAAUAAGCCCCGGCUAACUUCGUGCCAGCAGCCGCGGUAAUACGAAGGGGGCUAGCGUUGUUCGGAAUUACUGGGCGUAAAGCGCACGUAGGCGGACUAGCAAGUCAGAGGUGAAAUCCCGGGGCUCAACCUCGGAACUGCCUUUGAUACUGCCAGUCUAGAGUCCGGAAGAGGUGGGUGGAAUUCCUAGUGUAGAGGUGAAAUUCGCAGAUAUUAGGAAGAACACCGGUGGCGAAGGCGGCCCACUGGUCCGGAACUGACGCUGAGGUGCGAAAGCGUGGGGAGCAAAC